GUGGAAGGGGGCUUGCUCCCGAUAGCGGUGGGUCAGUCAACGAAUCCGUUGACUGACACCGUGCUAUCGGGAGCAAGCCCCCUCCCAC
rnacentral:misc_RNA from 1 species